UACGUAGGGUGCGAGCGUUAAUCGGAAUUACUGGGCGUAAAGCGUGCGUAGGCGGUUCGCUGUGUCCGAUGUGAAAGCCCCGGGCUUAACCUGGGAAUGGCAUUGGAAACUGGCGGGCUUGAGUGCGGCAGAGGGGGGUGGAAUUCCAGGUGUAGCGGUGAAAUGCGUAGAUAUCUGGAGGAACACCGGUGGCGAAGGCGACAUCCUGGACCAACACUGACGCUGAGGAGCGAAAGCCAGGGGAGCAAACGGG
rnacentral:rRNA from 1 species